rnacentral:sRNA from 1 species
GUGAGGUCAGUCUUUUGUGGCAUCCACCCUCUUGUUGAUGGUCAAUAUUGAGUAGGCUAAUUGCACAGGUGGGUGCCCCACUCCUUCCUCAGCACAGGGUCUGUGUCCCUCUCGGUGUAGGGCCACCAUUUUAGACAAAUGAGUCACUCUUGGGUUGAGGAAUUUUGAGCCUCUGCACUCCUUUGUUGAAACUUCCAUAAAAGUAAAAACGAUCCCACUUUUCAAAAUUAAUAUAUAGACUGUCACUCAAACUGACACGUGGUUGGU